rnacentral:rRNA from 1 species
AUUGAACGCUGGCGGCAUGCCUUACACAUGCAAGUCGAACGGCAGCGGACCUUCGGGUGCCGGCGAGUGGCGAACGGGUGAGUAAUGCAUCGGAACGUGCCAUUGAGUGGGGGAUAACGUAGCGAAAGUUACGCUAAUACCGCAUAUUCUGUGAGCAGGAAAGCAGGGGACCGCAAGGCCUUGCGCUCUUUGAGCGGCCGAUGUCAGAUUAGCUAGUUGGUGAGGUAAAGGCUUACCAAGGCGACGAUCUGUAGCGGGUCUGAGAGGAUGAUCCGCCACACUGGAACUGAGACACGGUCCAGACUCCUACGGGAGGUAGCAGUGGGGAAUUUUGGACAAUGGGCGCAAGCCUGAUCCAGCCAUGCCGCGUGAGUGAAGAAGGCCU